GUCUAUGGCCAUGCCACCCUGAACAUGCCUGAUCUCAUCUGAUCUCGGAAGCUAAGCAGGAUUGGGCAUAGUUAAUACUUGGAUGGGAGACCACCCAGGAAUACCUGGUGCUGUAGGCG
rnacentral:rRNA from 1 species